GAGGGAGAGCUGGACUGGGACGUCUCAGCGCUCAAUAUCACAGUCAAUCCUAUGGAGAGCUUCCAGGAGCCCCAGGAAGCUGAGGAAGAGGCCAGUGAGGAGGAGGAGGAAGAUGAAGAGGAUGACAUCACCAGCACAGAGUCAGACGACAGCGAGGAGGAGGAGGUCCCAGGAGCUCACAGGGUACAACAGAGCAGCAAGAGGGGCCAGCUGGACUGCUACAACUCUACAUGAACCUACUGAAUACAAUUAUACAUGCACACUGAUGCACACACAUACACACUGAUGUAUAUACACACACGCUGAGGCAUCAACAUACUCACUACUAUAAAAUAAAUUGUUCAAAUCAUGAGACUACCUGAGAUUUCUCUGAGUUGAGGUAACAUCUCCCCCUACUGGUGAAAAAGGAAAUGGUAUUAAGAAUAGAAUGAGCACUGUGUGAUAACACACAUAAACACAUACACAUACACGUCACACACACAUACACGUCACACACACACAAACGUCACACACACACACACACACACACACACAUACACGUCACACACACACACAUACACGUCACACACACACACAUACACAUACACGUCACACACACACACACAUAAACACAUACACAUCACACACACACACACAUACACACACACACACAUACACGUCACACACACACACACAUACACGUCACACACACACACAUACACGUCACACACACACACACACAUACACGUCACACACACACACACAUACACGUCACACACACACACAUACGUCACACACACACACAUACGUCACACACACACACACACACGCACGCACACACACACACACACACACACACACACACACACACACACACACACACACACACAACACCAGCCUGUAUUUAAAAAGACUCCUUUCCUUUAUGUCAAACUAUGUAGUGUUAACUAAAGGCUACCCUGUGGUACUCCAAUGCUGUAAUACUAUCCUGUGGUCUUGAGUACCCCAGACCUCAAGCCCUAGUCCACAAGCUGAAACCUUACCUACUGUUUUUUACUGAGACUGUGAAAAAAAGACAACAAAAUGUGAAAAACUGUAUACGACUGAAAUUGCUUGUCAAACAUCUGUUUUCCACCUAUUUUUUCAGGGUCUAAAAUCUUGUCUGAGAAACUGUGGUCCUAUAGGUCGCUGUGAUCUUUUGUAAUGGUAACAACCAACUAAUGAAACAAAUACCAAAUGAUAGUCUUUGGGUGGAGUUUUCCUUUAAGAUGGUACAGUCCAGUAUAGGGGAACACCUUUGAUUCUUACCUUGAUACACUAUAUUGCAAAAGUAUGUGGACACCCCAUCAAAUUAGUGGAUUCGGCUAUUUCAGUCACACCCGUUACUGAUGGGUGUAUAAAAUCGAGCUCACAGCCAUGCAAUCUCCAUAGACACACAAUGUCAGUAGAAUGGCCCUACUUAAGAGCUCAGUGACUUUCAACAUGGCACUGUCAUUGGAUGUUACCUUUCCAACAAGUUAGUUCAUCAAAUUUCUGCCCUGCUAGAGCUGCCCCUGUCAACUGUAAGUGCUGUUAUUGGGAAGUGGAAACAUCUAGGAGCAACAACGGCUCAGCCGUGAGGGGAAGGCCACAGAAGCUCACAGAACGGGACCGCCGAGUACUGAAGCGCGUAGUGAGCUAAAAGAUUAUGUCCUCGGUUGCAACACUCACUACCGAAUUCAAAACUGCCUCUGGAAGCAACGUCAGCACAAGAACUGUUUGUCAGGAGCUUCAUGAAAUUGGUUUCCAUGGCAGAGCAGCCACACACAAGCCUAAGAUCACCAUGUGCAAUGUCAAGCAUCAGCUGGAGUGGUGUAAAGUUCACCGCCACUGGACUCUGGAGCACUGGAAACGCGUUCUCUGGAGUGAUGAAUCACUCUUCUCCAUCUGGCAGUCCGACAGACGAAUCUGGGUUCCAGGAGAACGUUACCUGCACAAAUGCGUAGUGCCAACUGUAAAGUUUGGUGGAGGAGGAAUAAUGGUCUGGGGCUGUUUUUCAUGGUUCGGGCUAGACCUUAGUUCCAGUGAAGGGAAAUCUUAAUGCUAAGGCAUACAAUGACAUUCUAGAUUAUGCUAUGCUUCCAACUUUGUGGCAACAGUUUGGGGAAGGCCCUUUCCUGUUUCAGCAUGACAAUGCCCCCGUGCACAAAGCAAGGUUUUCUCACGCAAUUGCACACCCUAUAGAAAUGUUGCGCAACAUUAGCUCAUGGGAACUCAUGAAGUGUUUGAUUAGAUUUUCGAUUACAUUUUCAUUGAUGUCAGAGUGAUUAGAGGGACAAUACAGUGCUGAGUACCAGGCAGUUAGCAAGUUUGGUAGACUACUAAUUACCAUCAGCAGCAUAAGAGCUCGGCAUUCCAAUUCAUUCCAAUGGUGUUCGAUGGUGUUGAGGUCAGGGCUCUGUGCAGGCCAGUCAAGUUCUUCCACACCGCAACAGCCCUACAUACCGAAAUGGUUUGUCGAGAUCGGUGUGGAAGAACUUGACUGGCCUGCACAAGCCCUGAUCUCAACACCAUCUAACACCAUUGGAAUGAAUUGGAACACCGACUGCAAGCCAACAUCAGUGCCCGACAUCACUAAUGCUCUUGUGGCUGAAUGGAAGCAAGUCCCCGCAGCAAUGUUCCAACAUCUAGUGGAAAGUCUUCCCAGAAGAAUGGAGGCUGUUAUAGCAGCAAAGGGGGGACCAACUCCAUAUUAAUGCCCAUGAUUUUGGAAUGAGAUGUUUGACGAGCAGGUGUCCACACACUUUUGGUCAUGUAGUGUAUCUGUGUUCAGUAUAUCAUACCUUUUGUCCAUUGCAUCAAAUUAAAAUUUAAGACGAAAUAAGAAAAAAUAUUAUUGCAUUGAUUUGCAAUAUUUUAAUACCUGAAAAAUAUGUUGGGUUUAUUGCAAUGGAAUAUAUUUUAUUUAUCACUGCGUAUUUAAGCCUGGAUGAGGUGUCUAGGUGAUUUUACAUUUGGCGUAACCAAUGGCACUAAACAAUCUUUAUUUGUUUUUUGAUUGGUGUCCUGUUGGAGAUGUUGUAGUUACUUGAGGCAUAAUCAUGCAGUUGCAACAUUACAGAAUGUUCAGAUAGAAAUAUGUUGCAUAGAACAGACACGUUUCUCUGUCAUGCAAAACAAUUACCAUGUCAGCUCCAUGCAUGUAAUUUCUAUCUUCAAUAUUCUGUAGCCAACUGAAUAAGCACCCAGGUGAAAGUUGAUCUUGCCUGUUCUGGUUUUUGGACACACUAUAAGAGAGAAGGAACCUUGUACAUUUGGAUAUGUUCCUCUUACCUGUACAUACUGACUAGAGUAGGUGACCCUGCCCUGAACCUAGCGAAGCUCCUCCCUCUGUUCAUCUGUAUGUAUGCACCCCCCUCCCCCCAUCUCUAUGUACUAACCCGCCCAUGUCACUGAAAUCUGUUCAUAUCACACCAAACCCACCCCUCUCUCUAUGUUUGUAUCUCAACGUUCAGUUCAUUCCAAAUGGCUGUGCUUUCUGUCUCUGUUAAGACAGGCAAGACAAACAGACACCGCUGUUCCUACAUUUUAGGAUGGGAGACAACAGUGGGAAAUGAUCAUGGAAGUUAAACCAAUUUAAACCCAACUUAAACUGGUUAAUGGGCAGGGCAUGUAUAGAGUGUUGUCUUCUGUCUUUCUGUAGUCAAUCCCAGCAAUCCCCCUUACCCCUAUCGUACACAGUACACCUAUUACAAAAUGUUAUUUUACCUGCCAUGAGGAGAAAUUGAAAGUUUCUAUUGUCUUCAUUUUGGUAUUUGACUGUGUGACCCUGCUUGAUGUAUUCCUUCCCGGGGAUAGUCCUUUGGUUCUAGCUGUACCCGUACCCCCUUUGAACCUUGCUGGACUUUGCAUCAAUCCUCCCCAAUGGUCUCCCAACGUUUGUUUUAGAACAGUGGUCACCAACAUUUGAGUCAAGAUCACUUUCGCAGUCAAAAGGCAAGCCAAGAUCUACCACUCAGAUAAUUAUUUUUACAUGAACCUAAUAAAAACAGCUCUGUAGGAAUGAGAUUUGUGCAGUACACUUAAUACAUUAUCUUAGCAUAUUGGCUAUAUGCCUGGCCUGCCAAUAUUAUUUUUCUCAGACCUUAUUAUAUUUCAAAACUCGAGCUUUGAUAACAAACUAGAUCAGUUGGUGUAGCACUUGUGAGGCACAGCUGAGCAUGAAUUGAAACAAUUCGCUUUUUUAUUUUACUGGACUGAUGGUACCUGCUUCUGAUGGGCAUGGUGAUUUUAAGACAACUGGGAACUCUGAAAAAACGAGGUCAAACCAAGAAGUCAGCGAACUUCACAUCGGAAAGUCGGAGUUCUAGAGAGAUGCUAGCGUUUACGAGUUGGAUGACCAUUCAAAACUAUUUUCCAUAGUCGGAUCUCGCUUUUUCCGAGUUCCCAGUUGUCUUGAACGAUUGAAAGACAAUGAAUCCCGAGUUCCCAGUUAUUUGGGGAAAAAACAGUCUCAGUGGACAGAUGGAGUGAGCAGCAGACGGUCCUUGCUCUCCUUCCUUUCCUCCAGUGCGACUGACUAGAGAGAGGGGACACAGUCUUCCACCUGAUGGCAAAACUCGAGUCGCACCACACCUGCCUCGGCACAAAUUCAUGUUGUUCCUAUGACCAGCGAAAGUGAAAUACUCCUCGAUAUUAAAAUACACACGACGAGCUGCUAAUAAUAAUAAAAACGCAGGGCUAUCUAUACACUUUGCUACUCGUUCAUUUUCCGGGGUCGUGGAAGAUGUAGGUAGGCACCGUGAUUUGAGCUAUCCGAUUGGCCAGCCCCAAAAGCGCACUCGAUUUAGCCACAUAACUCCCGGUCCGCUGGGUAGGCGGAGUUGAACUUUUCAGACAAAUGAAAUGGUUAAAAAUGGGAAACUUUGCCUACCCGGUGCCCAAGGCUUCUGAAUCAAGUUGAACGUACUGUCAAUAGCGCAACACGGAAAAAAGGAGCGCAAGCUUAUGCAGUUAUCGUUGGCUUUUCUACAGAAAUGUUUGGUGAUAGACUAGGAAUGCCUUGAAGAUCAACAUGUCAAUCAACAUUAAAUAAAGGUUAAAUUUAUAAAAUAUAUAAAAAUCGCGAUCCACUGGUUGGUGACCACUGUUAUAGAAGAAGAAGAAGAAGAAGGUGAAAAUAAAUAUCAUCCUUGUAAAAUGUGUAAAACCUUUUUUCGGUUUUUCUUGAUUUUUUCUUUGGACUGUUUUUCUUAGUUUACUUUAGAUGGUCACUACAACACUUUCUGUAAAUUGACCAAUAAAGACUUGUUUUAGAAUCUA